rnacentral:rRNA from 1 species
CCUACGGGUGGCAGCAGUGAGGAAUAUUGGUCAAUGGACGAAAGUCUGAACCAGCCACGUCGCGUGAAGGAUGACGGCUCUAUGAUUUGUAAACUUCUUUUGUAUGGGGAUAAACUGACCUACGUGUCGGUUCUUGUAUGUACAAUAUGAAUAAGGAUCGGCUAACUCCGUGCCAGCAGCCGCGGUAAUACGGAGGAUCCGAGCGUUAUCCGGAUUUAUUGGGUUUAAAGGGUGCGUAGGUGGUUUGUUAAGUUAGAGGUGAAAGUACGCGGCUCAACCCUGGAAUUGCCGUUGAUACUGGUGGACUUGAGUGUAGUUGAGGUAGGCGGAAUGCGUGGUGUAGCGGUGAAAUGCGUAGAGAUAACGAAGAACACCGAUUGCGAAGGCAGCUUACUAAACUGUAACUGACGCUGAGGCACGAAAGCGUGGGGAGCAAACAGGAUUAGAUACCCCGGUAGUC